GCAGGCUGCAACUCGCCUGCAUGAAGUCGGAAUUGCUAGUAAUCGCAGAUCAGCAUGCUGCGGUGAAUACGUUCCCGGGCCUUGUACACACCGCCCGUCACACCAUGAGAGUUGGGGAUACCCGAAGCCUGUGAGCUAACUUUAUAAGGAGCAGCAGUCGAAGGUAGAAUCAAUGAUUGGGGUGAAGUCGUAACAAGGUAUC
rnacentral:rRNA from 1 species